rnacentral:tRNA from 1 species
GCACGGAUGGCCGAGUGGUCUAAGGCGCCAGACUCAAGCGUAAUGCUUCGUGCGAGUUCAGCACACUCCUGGGUGUUCUGGUAUCGGUAUCGAUGCGUGGGUUCGAAUCCCACUCCGUGCA